rnacentral:rRNA from 1 species
UACGUAGGGUGCGAGCGUUAAUCGGAAUUACUGGGCGUAAAGCGUGCGCAGGCGGUUAUGUAAGACAGAUGUGAAAUCCCAGGGCUCAACCUUGGAACUGCAUUUGUGACUGCAUAGCUAGAGUACGGUAGAGGGGGAUGGAAUUCCGCGUGUAGCAGUGAAAUGCGUAGAUAUGCGGAGGAACACCGAUGGCGAAGGCAGCCCCCUGGGAUAACACUGACGCUCAUGCACGAAAGCGUGGGGAGCAAACAGG